rnacentral:rRNA from 1 species
GAUGAACGCUGGCGGCGUGCCUAAUACAUGCAAGUCGAACGAAACUUCUUUAUCACCGAGUGCUUGCACUCACCGAUAAAGAGUUGAGUGGCGAACGGGUGAGUAACACGUGGGCAACCUGCCAAAAAGAGGGGGAUAACACUUGGAAACAGGUGCUAAUACCGCAUAACCAUAGUUACCGCAUGGUAACUAUGUAAAAGGUGGCUAUACUACCGCUUUUGGAUGGGCCCGCGGCGCAUUAGCUAGUUGGUAGGGUAAAGGCUUACCAAGGCAAUGAUGCGUAGCCGAAUUGAGAGGUUGAUCGGCCACAUUGGGACUGAGACACGGCCCAAACUCCUACGGGAGGCAGCAGUAGGGAAUCUUCCACAAUGGGCGAAAGCCUGAUGGAGCAACGCCGCGUGGGUGAAGAAGGUCUUCGGAUCGUAAAACCCUGUUGUUAGAGAAGAAAGUGCGUGAGAGUAACUGUUCACGUUUCGACGGUAUCUAACCGGAAAGCCACGGCUAACUACGUG